UGUUAAAAAUUUUAUUUUUUUGUAUUAUUAAAAAUUGUCGUGCCUUUUAGAACCCGACAAUGAUAUAUGACGUGGCACGUAUAUCUUAUACUAAUAUACAGAGACUAGAUUUUAAUAAUAAAAAUAGAUAAAAAUCUUUAAUA
rfam:Gossypium hirsutum cultivar TM-1 unplaced genomic scaffold scaffold190.1, whole genome shotgun sequence